rnacentral:rRNA from 1 species
AUGAACGCUGGCGGCGUGCCUAACACAUUCAAGUCGAACGGUGUUACUUUAGUAGCAAUACUGAGGUAACAUAGUGGCGGACGGGUGAGUAACGCGUGAGCAACCUGCCUUUCAGAGGGGGAUAACACAGGGAAACCUGUGCUAAUACCGCAUGAAGUAUCGUGAUGGCAUCAUCGUGAUACCAAAGGAGCGAUCCGCUGAAAGAUGGGCUCGCGUCCGAUUAGAUAGUUGGUGAGGUAACGGCUCACCAAGUCGAUGAUCGGUAGCCGGACUGAGAGGUUGAACGGCCACAUUGGGACUGAGACACGGCCCAGACUCCUACGGGAGGCAGCAGUGAGGAAUAUUGGUCAAUGGGCGCAAGCCUGAACCAGCCAUCCCGCGUGCAGGAAGACGGCCCUAUGGGUUGUAAACUGCUUUUCCAGGGAGAGAAACUUACGCACGUGUUGCGUGACUGACGGUACCCUGGGAAUAAGCAUCGGCUAACUCCGUG